AUGUUGCAUGGUCCAUGUGGCGCGCUCAAGAAAAGUUGCCCUUGCAUGAUAGAUCGACAAUGUUGGUUUCAUUACCCACGAGAUUUCUGUGAUGCUACAUUACAAGGGAAAGACUCAUAUCCCAUCUAUAAAAGGAGGGAUGAUGGGGCAGAUUUGGACAAUAGAUGGGUGGUCCCUUACAACCCCUUUCUGCUGAUGACAUACAACUGUCACAUUAAUGUCGAAGCAUGCUCGAGCAUCAAGGCAGUGAAGUACUUAUUCAAGUACAUCUACAAAGGGCAUGAUAAGGCAUCAUUUGCGUUCGAGCAGGAUAUUAUCAAUGAUGGGGGAAUCAUCGAUGAAAUUCGACAAUAUAGGGAUGCACGCUAUAUAUCUCCUCCCGAAGCUAUCUACAUGAUUUUUCGGCUUUAA
rnacentral:rRNA from 1 species